UUUUGGCAAAACCAUAUAACCCUCGGUACGAAGCUCCGGAAGUGCUUCACUUUCGGGACACAAGCUUCGAAGGAAUCAAGACGUUGGUUUGGCCUGAUGGACUUCUCUGCUGCAUCAGCCAACAGUUGGGAAUGGGUCAUCCACAUAAAGAAUGAAGACGUUGGUUUGGCCUGAUGGACUUCUCUGCUGCAUCAGCCCACAGUUGGACAUGGGUCCUCCGCAUAAAGGUACAAAAUUGGCAUCAGCUGUCACACUGGUUGCAGCCCUGAUUCACAAGGGGUAAUUGCAGGAUUAACAGCAUGCCCAACUGGUUCAAGGAGAUCACCAUGGGUUCCUAAGUAAGGCAGCCUGUGGUGGAUGCCUCUGGAUCACCAUUUACGGACCUGGUGAAGGAGCUCUUGGAAUGAAGCCCCCCUGAGCCUUUUGGUGGUUGAUGCCUCAGCAGCCAUGUCUUCAGUUCCUGCACCAUUCGCCCUCUAGGGAGUGCAGAUGGGAGUUGACCAGGGGCUGUGAAUGAGGAAGGUGUCUGCUCUGAGUCCUGGUGUGCGGUAUCUCCACCUUGUCGUUUUCCUCAUGUUGCAGCGUCUGAAUCCUGGUGUGCGGUAUCUCCACCUUGCCGUUUUCCUCAUGUUGCAGGGUCCUGGAGGCUUUGGAAGACUGAGCCCAGGGUGCUGUGGACAUUGUUGCAGUUGAAGAUGAGCAUCAGCCUCGGCCUGAACGUUGGACAUUCUGGUGUGAAAUGCCCAGACUCUUUAUGAAAUAAAAACAUUUGAACUUA